GUGCCAGCCGCCGCGGUAAUACGAGAGGCGCAAACGUUAUUCGGAUUUACUGGGCUUAAAGAGUUCGUAGGCGGCGCAGAAAGUAGGGUGUGAAAGCCCUCGGCUUAACCGAGGAAUUGCGCUCUAAACUACUGUGCUCGAGGGACCUAGAGGUGAGCGGAACUGAUGGUGGAGCGGUGAAAUGCGUUGAUAUCAUCAGGAACACCGGAGGCGAAGGCGGCUCACUGGGGGUCUUCUGACGCUGAGGAACGAAAGCCAGGGGAGCGAACGGGAUUAGAUACCCUCGUAGUCC
rnacentral:rRNA from 1 species